rnacentral:rRNA from 1 species
UACGUAGGGGGCAAGCGUUGUCCGGAUUUAUUGGGCGUAAAGAGCGUGUAGGCGGCCUGACAGGUCUGCUGUGAAAACUCGAGGCUUAACCUCGAGAUGUCAUCGGAAACUAUUCGGCUAGAGUCCGGAAGAGGAGAGUGGAAUUCCUGGUGUAAGCGGUGAAAUGCGCAGAUAUCAGGAAGAACACCCAUGGCGAAAGCAGCUCUCUGGGACGGUACUGACGCUGAGACGCGAAAGCGUGGGGAGCGAACAGG